rnacentral:rRNA from 1 species
GACGAACGCUGGCGGCGUGCCUAAUACAUGCAAGUCGAACGCAGUGGGGACGGGUGAGUAACACGUGGGUAACCUCCCAUCAGAGGGGAUAACAAUUGGAAACAGGUGCUAAACCGAUCCUGAUGGAUGGACCCGCGGUGCAUUAGCUAGUUGGUGCGGUCACGGCGCACCAAGGCCACGAUGCAUAGCCGACCUGAGAGGGUGAUCGGCCACACUGGGACUGAUACACGGCCCAGACUCCUACGGGAGGCAGCAGUAGGGAAUCUUGGGCAAUGGGCGAAAGUCUGACCGAGCAAUGCCGCGUGAGUGAAGAAGGUUUUAGGAUCGUAAAACUCUGGUGUUAGAGAAGCGGUAUCUAACCAGAAAGCCACGGCUAACUACGUGCCAGCAGCCGCGGUAAUUC